CUGAAUGAUCAGCAGGAGUUCCUACAGCAGCUUGAUAAAUCCGCUCCGCACUUCCAUCCAUAUCAUGUAUGCCAUAUCUAGGGAUACAAUUGCAAUGUGGACAGAAGGAAUUAGGUGAAGAAUAAAUUUGAGAAGUGGCACAGACGGACUACUGACCUAGCAGUAAGAAGUUUUUUCCGGAACACCUGUGGUCCACCACAAGAAAACGGCCGUCCACCAACUACACUCAACU